ACAGAGUCGGACACGAAUGAAGCAACUUAGCAGCAGUCACAUAACUCCCUGAAAAAUUAAAGGGGCUGGGACAAGCAGAAACAACUCAAGCCUUCAGGAGAGGAGCUUUGGUGGUCAGCUAGCCAUGACUGCCUUCUGCUGGCCUCCCCUCAUCCUAGGUUGAAUGUUGCUAGUAUGGCACAGUGACUCAGAAGGAGAAGAAGGUCAUAUGUAGGAAAAAAAACAAAAACAAAAAAAACCCACAGUUGCUAUUAUUUUUAUUAAGUCCUCAGGAUAUAUCCAAGGCAAAAGUGCCUUCUUUCUUCAUCCACAUAUAAAAAUUAUUCACCUACAUGCUCAUAGUUUAUGCUUAUUUCCAUCACUGCUGCUCUAAAUAUUUACUUUAACUUGAUUUCUCCUGAACAGACGCGUACUAUGAACGGGACGCACACUCGAGUGAUUUACUCUGGAUCCUGCUCUGCUUCUAGGGAUGGCUGAGGUACAGCAGCUCCUAUUUUCCAAAGGUCAUUUUAUUGGCACUUCAGAAGACCAUAGAAACAAGUGUGCGAAUGUUCCACAGGAACCAACACAUGAGACCUGCUUGCUUAUCUGGUCCUCAGGCCUGUCAGGACACUGGGAGAGUCCCCUUCCCACCAUGCGCAUAGCAUUACACAGCGCCAAGUUCAUAUAAGAUAUUACACAGGUAGAACGAGUGGCUAAGUGAUAAUUACAUAAAAUUUAAGUUGAAAGAGAAACUAAUUUCCUCUUUUAGUCAUAAAUUUAAAAUUAAGCUGUUUAUAAAACAGCAUUUUCCCAGAUUUUCUCUCUAAAACAUUAACCAAUUUUGCUGGAAUACAACAUAUAACUGUUUUAGUCAGAAUCUAACAUAGGUUUGUGACAGAAAAAAAAGAAAAUGCACAAAAUGUAAUAUAUGUGUCCUUACAUGAAAUGAUAAAAGCAAGAUAACAAAUGAUAUAUACAAUGUGAAAUUCCUGUUGUAAAAUAUAUAUACACAGAAAAAGAUUGGAAAGCAUAAAUCAAAGUGUUAAAAACAGUGAUUUUCUUUGGUGAUAUAUAAAAUUAUGGGAAAUUUCUUUUGCAGUUUUGUGUUAUCAUUCUUGUUUUAUGUAGAGUAUUUUCCUGAAGAUAUGUUAUUUAGUAUUUAGGGGAAAAACACACAUAUACAGAGUGUUGUACUAGGUCAAGUCUUUCAUGGAAAAAUCUAGAUGUUUAUUUGUAUCUGUUACUUCCCUGUACUAUCCCUUGAAAUCUUGAUCCAUUAAAUUAAAUAAACUGAGAAAAGAUGUUUAUACUGUCUCUAGA
rnacentral:lncRNA from 1 species